rnacentral:rRNA from 1 species
CGAACGCUGGCGGCAGGCUUAACACAUGCAAGUCGAGCGCCCCGCAAGGGGAGCGGCAGACGGGUGAGUAACGCGUGGGAAUCUACCCAUCUCUACGGAACAACUCCGGGAAACUGGAGCUAAUACCGUAUACGUCCUUCGGGAGAAAGAUUUAUCGGAGAUGGAUGAGCCCGCGUUGGAUUAGCUAGUUGGUGGGGUAAUGGCCUACCAAGGCGACGAUCCAUAGCUGGUCUGAGAGGAUGAUCAGCCACACUGGGACUGAGACACGGCCCAGACUCCUACGGGAGGCAGCAGUGGGGAAUAUUGGACAAUGGGCGAAAGCCUGAUCCAGCCAUGCCGCGUGAGUGAUGAAGGCCCUAGGGUUGUAAAGCUCUUUCAACGGUGAAGAUAAUGACGGUAACCGUAGAAGAAGCCCCGGCUAACUUCGUGCCAGCAGCCGCGGUAAUACGAAGGGGGCUAGCGUUGUUCGGAAUUACUGGGCGUAAAGCGCACGUAGGCGGAUACUUAAGUCAGGGGUGAAAUCCCGGGGCUCAACCCCGGAACUGCCUUUGAUACUGGGUAUCUCGAGUCCGGAAGAGGUGAGUGGAAUUCCGAGUGUAGAGGUGAAAUUCGUAGAUAUUCGGAGGAACACCAGUGGCGAAGGCGGCUCACUGGUCCGGUACUGAC